ACCUAUCUGCAGUCGAGCGAACUGAUUAGAAGCUUGCUUCUAUGACGUUAGCGGCGGACGGGUGAGUAACACGUGGGCAACCUGCCUGUAAGACUGGGAUAACUUCGGGAAACCGAAGCUAAUACCGGAUAGGAUCUUCUCCUUCAUGGGAGAUGAUUGAAAGAUGGUUUCGGCUAUCACUUACAGAUGGGCCCGCGGUGCAUUAGCUAGUUGGUGAGGUAACGGCUCACCAAGGCAACGAUGCAUAGCCGACCUGAGAGGGUGAUCGGCCACACUGGGACUGAGACACGGCCCAGACUCCUACGGGAGGCAGCAGUAGGGAAUCUUCCGCAAUGGACGAAAGUCUGACGGAGCAACGCCGCGUGAGUGAUGAAGGCUUUCGGGUCGUAAAACUCUGUUGUUAGGGAAGAACAAGUACGAGAGUAACUGCUCGUACCUUGACGGUACCUAACCAGAAAGCCACGGCUAACUACGUGCCAGCAGCCGCGGUAAUACGUAGGUGGCAAGCGUUAUCCGGAAUUAUUGGGCGUAAAGCGCGCGCAGGCGGUUUCUUAAGUCUGAUGUGAAAGCCCACGGCUCAACCGUGGAGGGUCAUUGGAAACUGGGGAACUUGAGUGCAGAAGAGAAAAGCGGAAUUCCACGUGUAGCGGUGAAAUGCGUAGAGAUGUGGAGGAACACCAGUGGCGAAGGCGGCUUUUUGGUCUGUAACUGACGCUGAGGCGCGAAAGCGUGGGGAGCAAACAGGAUUAGAUACCCUGGUAGUCCACGCCGUAAACGAUGAGUGCUAAGUGUUAGAGGGUUUCCGCCCUUUAGUGCUGCAGCUAACGCAUUAAGCACUCCGCCUGGGGAGUACGGUCGCAAGACUGAAACUCAAAGGAAUUGACGGGGGCCCGCACAAGCGGUGGAGCAUGUGGGUUUAAUUCGAAGCAACGCGAAGAACCUUACCAGGUCUUGACAUCCUCUGACACUCUAGAGAUAGAGCGUUCCCCUUCGGGGGACAGAGUGACAGUGGUGCAUGGGUUGUCGUCAGCUCGGUGUCGUGAGAUGUUGGGUUUAG
rnacentral:rRNA from 2 species